rnacentral:rRNA from 2 species
GGCCGGGAACUCAAAGGAGACUGCCAGUGAUAAACUGGAGGAAGGUGGGGAUGACGUCAAGUCAUCAUGGCCCUUACGAGUAGGGCUACACACGUGCUACAAUGGCAUAUACAAAGAGAAGCGACCUCGCGAGAGCAAGCGGACCUCAUAAAGUAUGUCGUAGUCCGGAUUGGAGUCUGCAACUCGACUCCAUGAAGUCGGAAUCGCUAGUAAUCGUGGAUCAGAAUGCCACGGUGAAUACGUUCCCGGGCCUUGUACACACCGCCCGUCACACCAUGGGAGUGGGUUGCAAAAGAAGUAGGUAGCUUAACCUUCGGGAGGGCGCUUACCACUUUGUGAUUCAUGACUGGGGUGAAGUCGUAACAAGGUAACCGUAGGGGAACCUGCGGUUGGAUCACCUCCUUA